UGUGUGUGUGUGUGUGUGUGUGUGUGUGCGUGUGUAAGCACACACAUACAUGUGUACACACACACACGUA